ensembl:lncRNA
UGUCCAUUGGUCGUCGUGACAGAAUAAUCGACCCAACAUAUGGAGACAGCAGGGAAGGCCGAGCUUGCGACCAUUGUAGGGACAGUACAGCACCACGAGGACUGUCUCUCCAGACUUGGGGUCGCCAUGGACAGUGUGCUGGCAACCGUCCUGCUCUUGGCGCCGAUCCGCAGAAUACCCCUGUCCCUCCCGGAGCGCUUUGACGGUGUGCCAGCAAGAUGCAAGGGGUUCCUUCUACAAUACAACCUGUACCUCGCUCUCUACCCCGAGGAUGUUUCCGGAAGAGACAGGGUUGCCACCGUCUUCUCGGCACUGACCGGGCGGACUCUGGACUGUGCCGCGGUCUGGGAGUCCUACGAGCGCUUCACCCUUCUCUUCCGCUCUGUGUUUGAUCAUCCUGUGGAGGGCCGAGUGGGAGGUGAGCGUCUACUCCGACUACGCCAGGGAGCUAGGACCGCCUCGGAGUUCGCCCUGGAGUUCCGGACCAUCGCGGCUUCCACCGGAUGGAAUGAGUUGGCUCUGGUACCGUUUUCCGCAGCGGACUGUGGGAGGAGGUACAGCUGGAGUUAGCCUGCCGUGAUGACAACCUGUCACUCGACCAGCUCAUCAGCAUGGUGAUCCGGUUGGACAACCUCCUGUAGUCCCGAAGUAAACCUGCGAGGAAUCCGGAACCCAUGGCUACACCUGCUCCGUGGUGGGCUCGGCACGUGGUGGGCUCAGCUCGGCAGAGCAUAGGAGAAGGAGGAAUCUGGGCUUCUGCUUCUAUUGUGAGGAAAGGGGUCAUUUCUCCCCGAGCUGCUCUUUAUUCACUAGGAGGCAAGGAGCUGACAAGCCAAGGACUUCUCCUGCGCUAACCCAGGUAGGAGGCAAGGUCUCCUCUCCUUGUCUGUCAAAUCAACCAGUGUGUUUUCCUGUUAAAUUCCCUGAGUACUCUCGCCCUUCACUCCCGUUAGCUCUGAUUGAUUCCGGAACUGCCGGGAUUUUUUAAGAUAGCGCACUAGCCACAGCAUUACGCAUCCCUUUGGUUCCCCUACAGUCACCCAUUCCGGUUCGAUCCCUGGAUAAUCGUCCAAUAAGGACAGGGCUCAUACAUCACAUUACUGUUCCUGUUUCUUUGCUGACCCAGGACACUCAUUCAGAACAGAUCACCUUCUUGAUUAUAGACGGGUUGAGUUUGCAUCCAGUUAUUUCCUGGUCCGAUAGGAGACUGCUGGUUUGGUCGCAGGAGUGUCAGGGGAGGUGUCUUGUGGUGUCUGUCAACACCGCUACGGUGGAAAGUCCGGACUGUGUUCCUCAAGUGGAUUUACCGGAGGAGUACCAGGAUCUGCACCACGUUUUUUCUAAGACCCAGGCUACACGCCUGUCUCCCCAUCACCCCUGGGAUGGUGCCAUUGACCUGUUGUCUGAUGCAGCUCUCCCAAGAGGACAUCCCCUCUCCUAUGCGAAGUCCAAGGCCAUGGAGACCUACUGUGUGUAUAUAUAUAUAUAUAUAUAUAUAUAU